GAUGAACGCUGGCGGCGUGCCUAACACAUGCAAGUCGAACGGAGUCCAGCCUUUAAGACCUUCGGGUCAAAGAGGGGAAGAGUGAGUGGCGGACGGGUGAGUAACACGUGGGCAACCUGGCUCAGAGAGGGGGAUAACAGAGAGAAAUAUCUGCUAAUACCGCAUAAGGACACACUGCCGCAUGGCAGGGGGUGAAAAGCGAAUGGCUAUGAGAUGGAUCCGCGUCUGAUUAGCCAGUUGGCAGGGUAAGAGCCUACCAAAGCGACGAUCAGUAGCCGAUCUGGGAACCUGAACCGCCACAAUUGGGAUGAGGCCCAGCCCCGACUCCUACGGGAGGCAGCAGUAGAGGAUAUUGCACGAUGGGGGGAAACCUGAUGCAGCGACGCCGCGUGAGUGAAGAAGUAUUUCGGUAUGUAAAGCUCUAUCAGCAGGGAAGAUAAUGACAGUACCUGAAUAAGAAGCCCCGGCUAACUACGUG
rnacentral:rRNA from 1 species